AACGAACGCUGGCGGCAUGCCUAACACAUGCAAGUCGAACGAGACCUUCGGGUCUAGUGGCGCACGGGUGCGUAACGCGUGGGAACCUGCCCUUAGGUUCGGAAUAACUCCCCGAAAGGGGUGCUGAUACCGGAUAAUGUCUUCGGACCAAAGAUUUAUCGCCUUUGGAUGGGCCCGCGUUGGAUUAGCUAGUUGGUAGGGUAAAAGCCUACCAAGGCGACGAUCCAUAGCUGGUCUGAGAGGAUGAUCAGCCACACUGGGACUGAGACCCGGCCCAGACUCCUACGGGAGGCAGCAGUGGGGAAUAUUGGACAAUGGGCGAAAGCCUGAUCCAGCAAUGCCGCGUGAGUGAUGAAGGCCUUAGGGUUGUAAAGCUCUUUUACCCGGGAUGAUAAUGACAGUACCGGGAGAAUAAGCUCCGGCUAACUCCGUG
rnacentral:rRNA from 1 species